rnacentral:misc_RNA from 1 species
AUUUAUUCAGUAGUAAAGUGAAUACCGGGCUGAGUGCAUCACGCUUGUGUUACAGUUUUUACUUCCUAAUAUAAAUAUUAUAAUUACCCGUGAUGAACACCCCAUAGUUAUAUAAGUAACACUACCCAACUGUGAAAGAUGAUGAUGGCCUUAUCCGUGGCUGCCUCUUCUUCCCCCACACCUCCUCCUGCAUCACACCAUUCGCAACAUCCAGAUGGAAAAGGAGGGGUUAUACUGGCUUCAUCUCUUAGCCUCUCUUUGGAGAAACUCCUGGAUCAGGCAGAAACAAGUGGAGAGCUUAAAUUGAGUGGACGGAAUCUGAAAUCCUUUCCACGAGCAGGGCCCUCCAAAUCCUAUAAUUAUUUGAGGGAUACGGUCGUUGCAGAUCUAUCUCGAAAUAAACUUAAUGAAGUACCAGAUGAAUGUACUAAAUUCAGUUCAAUGGAAAAGUUCCUACUCUAUCACAACACCAUUAAGUCUAUUCCAGACUCUAUUAUAGCCUUGCAUUCGCUCCAAUUUUUGGAUCUCAGCCGCAAUCAACUUAGUUAUCUUCCUGCCAAUUUAUGUCAGCUUCCUUUACAAGGUCUAAUUGUCAACAAUAACCGUUUAGUUAGUUUACCUGAAGAAAUUGGAAAAAUGCAAACUCUAAUGGAACUUGAUGCAUCCUGUAACGAAAUCGCUCAUUUGCCUGUUCAAAUAGGAGAUUUGUCAUCCCUAAAAUGUCUCAAACUACGCCGAAAUCAUUUACAAGAAAUCCCUGUGGAAAUUUCCUACUUGCAAUUGUCAACUCUAGACUUGAGUGGUAACCGCAUAUCCAUUCUUCCUGUCGAGCUCCGUUUCAUGACAUCUGUUAUUGAUAUAAACCUUGAAGAAAAUCCGCUAACUUGUCCUCCUGCAAAUCUUUGUUCACGUGGAAGAAUUCAUAUAUAUAAAUAUCUUGAAAUUCAAGCCAUUAAAGAAGAUCGAAGGAGAGGUGUUUUAACAGAUUCUGAGUAUAGGCGAUCAUUUCGUAAAACCGGAACUAAUCAACUGAGCGAUAUGGGGUUUAACAACAUGUUUAAUUGUGAUCCUAGAAGAAAACGAAAUACGGCGGAUAGUGGCUAUGGAAGUGAGCAGCCGCUAGAGCGUCGUUGGUCUCAGGAUUUUAACCAAGAGAUACAAGACUACCACCCGGACGAAGCUAAGCGACUCAUUCUCAAGGCAGCUAGUUCUAGUACAAUAUCUAGGUCAAUAAAUAAAGUCAGUCAUGUCGAAAAAAAAGUUCCUCCACAUACUAGCUCUGGAUCUAGUACUGCUAGCUCGGGUUAUAGUUCAUUAUGCGGGCCCCAUUGGGAAAACGGAGGAAUGAGUAAUAAUGUCCUUAAUCUCGGACAAAACCCAUUAGAUUGUGAUUAUAAAAACCCAUCUAUAGCCGGAUCCAUCUCCUCCUCUCAGUACUAUCAUUCGCCUAAUAGUGUAGAAGGAUCAUAUCAUAAGAUGAUGGACGGAAUGACUAUCUCGAAUGAAAGAAAUCAUAAUAAGCCGACAGGAGAUUUUGUGGAUUCUACAAGUCAAGAAAGGAGUGUGUAUGGUCACAAUUCGUCUGUAAAAAGGGGUGGAGAUAAAGGAGCAACGACUCAUUUACCAAACCAUCCUACUUUAUCGAGACCUAAUCCUGCCUCCUCCUCUUCCAAGCUAUCCUCUCCCCGCCAUAAUCCCCCAAAUCCUCCUUUAUCCACUCAUGAAUCUAAAAUCUUACCUCAUUCUUCGUCUACAACAACGACAACAACUACUAAUGUUUCGAGUAGUAAUAUUAGUAUAAUAUCCAAUAAAUAUUCGGGAAUGGUAUCGCCGCCUAAUAAGAUAAAUGGUAGUAGUGGUUUGCCCCUUCCUUCUAAACUGACUAGAUCAUCAGAUCCACACACUAAAGUCCACUCUCAAACGUAUAGGCAAUAUAAGGAGCAGCUACGCCAACAGAGAAACAAUGGAUCUAAUCAUGAUUACUCGAAUUCGAAUGAAAUACCGCCGCCGCUGAGUGAAGAGCAACAAUCUAAUGAUAUCAAAAGCCGUUUGUCAUCACAUCCUCAUAAUCAUAUAACGCAUGGACAUGGUAACACCAUGAAGCUCGGAAAACACAAUGGAACGUCAUCAUCAUUUGCGUAUUCAUAUGAUGUUAAAACAAUGCAGAAGGAAGCUGUACUAUCGUUUGUUAAGUCAAAAUCAAAUGGGUCCAGUAAUACUGUUAAUUCAUCCAAAUUACCCUCAUCUUCCGGGAUUCCACAGCCAUCCUUGAACUCUUCAUCGAGACUAAAGAUGCCACAGCAUUCCAAUACUACUACAACUAUAGAUCAAAACAGAACAUUCACUGCUAGACGAGAAGCUGAGAAAUCUGCCACUUCUGAAACGCACAUUCAACAGUUAAAAAUGCAUCUUGAAAAUAGAUUAAGGCUGACUCUACCGGAUGACAUAUCUGGAUCUCUAGUUGAUGGAGUGAUAUUAUGUCAUAUGGCUAAUCAUGUAAAACCAAGAUCAGUGCCUAGCAUUCACGUCCCAUCCCCUGCUGUGCCCAAACUCACUUCUGCCAAGUGCCGUAAAAAUGUGGAAAACUUUUUAUUGGCCUGUAGAAAAAUCGGAGUCCGUGAUGACUUGAUUUGCUCUCCCUCAGAUGUUUUAGAGCCACGAAAGCAGGGUACAGUUCGUAUAGCUAUAUCUAUUUCCGAACUACUUCGAUUUCAACAGCCCAAAAUGACGAUGAUGAUGAUGAUGGCUAAUGGCAACUGAUUGAUGAGGUAAAACAACGCGAUUCCAGGACGACGAUUCCUUAUCUCUCCUAUCUUCCUAUUAUAAUUAAUUUGAAUCUAUAUCUGUGAUGAUACCUAAAGAGGAAUGUGUUCUAGCCCUUGACUACACAUAUAAUAACCAUCAAAGUAUUAUUUGGUGCUAAUGCUUUUUUCUGCAUUAUGAAACGCGAUAGAUGUUAACUUUGAAGCUAUCUCUCUCUCUCUCAGACUUAUGAAAUAUGGUAUUCCUACGAUAAUGUUGCUGAUAUGAUAAGAUAAUUUAUUAUCCAUUUUAUUAAUUGCUUUUACUAUAUAUUAUAAUUACUCUCUAUUAAUAGAUUUACUCAUAAUUAUUUUAAUUUAAUUUUAUAUUUGACAAUGAGUAAAAAAAUCAAAUCAAAUCAUCACCAACAACCUUUUUAUGUAUGUGGUAUACGUCAAACCAAAAGCAAUCCUGAAACAAAAAUGAUGAGAGUCAUUCCCAAUAUGUAUUUAUUUUUACAUAUUAUAAUGGCUUGUGACUCCUGGGUCCGGUUCGGUUUUAUGUUAUUUUAUGAACCAAAUUGUAGAUAGACGUUGACGAAAAAUUACAACCGUCGAAUUAAUUGAGUCUUAAACAAAUGAUGAUGGUCUCUGACCGGUCCCGGAUUUUCAGAUCAAAAA